rnacentral:rRNA from 1 species
AUUGAACGCUGGCGGCAGGCCUAACACAUGCAAGUCGAACGAGUGGCGGACGGGUGAGUAAUGUCUGGGAAACUGCCUGAUGGAGGGGGAUAACUACUGGACACGGUAGCUAAUACCGCAUACCAUCAGAUGUGCCCAGAUGGGAUUAGCUAGUGGGUGGGGUAACGGCUCACCAAGGCGACGAUCCCUAGCUGGUCUGAGAGGAAGACCAGCCACACUGGAACAGAGGCACGGUCCAGACUCCUACGGGAGGCAGAAGUGGGGAAUAUUGAAGUAUGGGCGCGAGCAUACUGCAGCCAUGCAGCGUGUGUGAAGAAGGCAUUCGGGUUGUAAAGUACUUUCAGCGGGGAGGCGUUACCCGCAGAAGAAGCACCGGCUAACUCCGUGCCAGCAGCCGCGGUAAUAC